rnacentral:rRNA from 1 species
CGUCUAUAUACGUAUAGCAUAUCAAUAAGCGGAGGAAAAGAAACUAACAAGGAUUCCCUUAGUAACGGCGAGUGAAGCGGGAAGAGCUCAAAUUUGAAAUCUUCAAGGUUCUACCUUGACGAAUUGUAGUUUAUAGAAGUGUUUUCUGUUAGUGGAGUGGCAAAAGUUCUUUGGAAUAGGACAUCAUAGAGGGUGAGAAUCCCGUAUAUUGGUCAUUCCUCCUAGCGUUGUGAUACACUUUCAACGAGUCGGAUUGUUUGGGAAUGCAGUCCAAAAUGGGUGGUAAAUUUCAUCUAAAGCUAAAUAUUGGCGAGAGACCGAUAGCGAACAAGUACCGUGAGGGAAAGAUGAAAAGAACUUUGAAAAGAGAGUUAAACAGUACGUGAAAUUGUCAAAAGGGAAGCGUUUGACACCAGUGUUGUUUUUCCGAAAAUCAAUUACGAAUGUUUUAUUUUUGAGGAGUUAUGACUUCAUCGGCUUGCUCCUUUCUUUAUGAAACUUUCUUAAUGCACUUUUCGGUUAACAAGUCAACAUCAAUUUCUUUUGUUGUAAAAGGGUAUGAGGAAGGUGGCUUUCUUUUCGGAGAAAGUGUUUAUAGCCUUGUGCCUCUGCAAUCGGAGAGAUUGAGGUCUGCAGCGUAGAUCCUUCGGGGUUAGAUACGUUUGUGCUAAGUUAUAGCUUUUCAUAGACAACUUGUUGACUAUGUUUAGUCUUGUAGCUUACUCGCUGAUGCUAUUUUACCUACGCUUAGGAUGUUGAUAUGCAUGACUGAUAU